AUAAAGCCCUAUGAUCCGUUACUCAAACAUUGAAUAAGUCUCCUUUUAUGAUUUUAUAUCUGGGCAAAGUUUUGUUCGACCCUCAACAACCUCAGUCAUAGCAUCAAUCAAAUUUCCAAUAGAACACCUCGACACAUUGAAUCCCUAAAGAAACCCUCCAACAACGCUUCAAAACUUACCAGUCAUGCCUCAACAGUUACAACAACAGUUCAAAUGACAUACUUAUGUUUAUCCAAAAUGGAAAAGCGGUGUGAUACAAAACCCAUAUCUGAUGUUUGGAUGAAAGCAUCGGGUGGAUUGCCUGGUAUGUGCCAACAAUGGCUUGUGUGAAGGGAGGAGGUCCAUCUUUUUCUAUCUCCUUCUAUGGUUCUGGCGAAUUCAACUACAGAGUUUGAUAUUAUUAAUAUUAUUUUUCCAUUAAUUAUAUUGUUGAAUUUAAUUAUUCUAUUGUGCUUGGUUUCCAAUGGGCAUGUACACCAAAUUAUCCUGCUUGUAUGUUCAGUUUUGUCCAAUUUGAAGCUUUAUCCUUAAGGACAUGCCACAAUUUCAAGAGUCUGAGCUAUUUAUUCACCAAGAGAUUAAUAAUGUUGAGGAGGUCGGAGGUAGAAGAAGAUGGGUUGAGCAGGCUAAGGUGAUAUUUUACGGUCAUGAUACCAACGAGGAAGCUUCACAUAUUGUGAUAAGCCUAUGACUUGGGAGGCACUUGGUGCGGGCCUGCGGGGUAUUUCAAGGUGAUUGUUGAUGUCGGGAUGCUUGAUGAUGUUGGCUCGGGGUUGGGUCGUGGAGGUUGUUGUGAUUCGAGUGUGGAAAAGUUGGAGUCGAGUGUGAGAGACGGGAAUACCAUUUUUUGGGGUUUCAAGUUGGCUUUGGAAAAAAGGAUGAAUAGUGUUUUGGUAGAGAGUGACUUUGUUGGUGAAUCAUGCUUCGAAGCACAACACCAUAAGAAGUAAUAAUUUUGAUCUCAUUAUACAUGAUACUUUAUAACUAAGGUGUAGCUUUGUUAAUGUUUUUUGAUCCAUUGUCAAGCCGAGCUUAGUAAUAAUAACGAAGCCCAUGAAUUGACUCACUUGCAAUGUUGGGAGUUCGGUCGUAGAAUUUGGGAGGAUGAUUUUUCGAGUCGAAUUUUGAA